UGCGUAGACGGUUAUUUAAGUCGGGUGUGAGAGCCCCGGGCUCAACCUGGGAAUUGCAUUCGAGACUGAAUAGCUAGGGUACGGUAGAGGGAAGCGGAAUUUCCGGUGUAGCGGUGAAAUGCGUAGAUAUCGGAAGGAACAUCAGUGGCGAAAGCGGCUUCCUGGACCAGUACCGACGUUCAGGCACGAAAGCGUGGGGAGCAAACA
rnacentral:rRNA from 1 species